rnacentral:rRNA from 1 species
GAUGAACGCUGGCGGCGUGCCUAAUACAUGCAAGUCGAGCGAAUGGAUUAAGAGCUUGCUCUUAUGAAGUUAGCGGCGGACGGGUGAGUAACACGUGGGUAACCUGCCCAUAAGACUGGGAUAACUCCGGGAAACCGGGGCUAAUACCGGAUAACAUUUUGAACCGCAUGGUUCGAAAUUGAAAGGCGGCUUCGGCUGUCACUUAUGGAUGGACCCGCGUCGCAUUAGCUAGUUGGUGAGGUAACGGCUCACCAAGGCAACGAUGCGUAGCCGACCUGGGAGGGUGAUCGGCCACACUGGGACUGAGACACGGCCCAGACUCCUACGGGAGGGAGCAGUAGGGAAUCUUCCGCAAUGGACGAAAGUCUGACGGAGCAACGCCGCGUGAGUGACGAAGGCUUUCGGGUCGUAAAACUCUGUUGUUAGGGAAGAACAAGUGCUAGUUGAAUAAGCUGGCACCUUGACGGUACCUAACCAGAAAGCCACGGCUAACUACGUGCCAGCCGCCGCGGUAA